rnacentral:lncRNA from 1 species
GACCUGCAGUAACAGAAGAUGUACGUGCUAGGUGUUGAAUAUAAUUUGGAAACCAAGCCACAGAUGAGAGGUCUUACUUGAUUUGGUUUAUUUUUGCUAAUCAGAAAGUCAGUAGAUGUAAACUACAGAUGCAUCAUAGGGAUAUUCAGUCAAGGUGAUGCAACAUGUAUCUAAUUGUUUUUUCAUAAUUACAAUGAUUAAUAGAUACUAGCAUGAUGAUGACUCUCUUCCUAGCUUAAAAUAUGUUAUCACUAAAUUUGAAAAUGGCACACUAAUAAAUAGGGCUUCUAAAAGAGGUGUGUUGGUAAAACCUUGUUUUAUCUACUUGUUUUUCACUGUAAUAUCAAUCUAUUGAAAACAUUUGCACGGGGCCAAGUAAUUGUGAGGGAAUAAAACAGCAUAUGAGGUUAUAAUUACUAUGUUAGGUAAAACAGAGCAUUAUCAGUCUUCGUUGUUGUUGUUUUUUCCUUCCAAUUACUCGAUAUUCCAGGAAACUUUUCACAGCUGAGCCAUUGUGUUUUCUUCAGAAGUUAGAAAUAAGAUUGGCAGAUUGAUGUCCGUAUUCAGCCAUGCAGCAAAGUACUGGAAGAACUGCCCUAUUUCAUCCUGCUCUUCUAUGGUCUGCUGGUUUCUCAAGUCUUCUUAUGUAACAUGAGGGAACAUUUUGUUGUUUGAAUUGUUGUAACUGCCUAUUUUCUGUGUUCAAAGGAAUAGAUUUCCUUACAUCUGGGGUAUUUUUAACUGGAUAAUGUAACUCAGAGUGAUAAUAUAUAAAAACAGUCUUCUGUGUUGGUUGUUUGAAAGAAAGUUGUUUCUUCAUUAGAAAUACUAGAAAUGUAAUAAUUUGAUUUGGUAGUUAGUUUUUCAUCUGAAUAUUAAGUUCUGAGUAGAAAAGCAAAUAGCACUAGGUUUAAUUGCAUGCUUUGAACAAGGUUUAAUAACCUAUACACUUUCUUAAAUAUCCCUCAGUAGUGUAUGCUAGUAUUGUCCUUAGAACCCCUGAUGUCCUUGUUUUAAUGGUUCAAAGCAUGUGAAAAAUCUUUGUCUGGAAGAAUAUAACAACUGGGAUUUUUUACUUGUACAUGAUAACACACUAAA